rnacentral:rRNA from 1 species
UACGUAGGGUGCGAGCGUUAAUCGGAAUUACUGGGCGUAAAGCGUGCGCAGGCGGUUUGGUAAGACAGAUGUGAAAUCCCCGGGCUUAACCUGGGAAUUGCAUUUGUGACUGCCCGGCUAGAGUGUGUCAGAGGGGGGUAGAAUUCCACGUGUAGCAGUGAAAUGCGUAGAUAUGUGGAGGAAUACCGAUGGCGAAGGCAGCCCCCUGGGAUAACACUGACGCUCAUGCACGAA